CAUCCGGGGGACAUUUUCCCCUGAAGUCUGUCCGCCCCGUGAGAGCAUGCUUGUAGCAGUCAUGCGCCGAAUGUCUCUGUCUGACACGACUAGGAAAAGAUUAUAUAUUAUUUAAUAUUUAUAUGUAAUAUACAGUAGCUGCAUGUUUUUUUUUCAUGUUGUUUAUUUUAUUUAGAGUUUAAUAUGAAACGUGAUUUGGGUUUGCAUCCUUGUGCAGAGGCGCUAGGCCGCACCGGCAUGGAAAUGCGCAGGCUGAGUGAUUAAUUCGGAUUGAUGCAGUGUUUUUGUGUUGACUGCACGUCCACACGUGGGCAGAUGGGUGGUGUGCUCUCAGAUGAAGGCCAACCAAGGUCCAUUUUGAUUUAAGACGGAGUGACGUAAAUGGGCACUGUUGCAGAAUGAUUGCAGGAAUAUCACUGUAAAAUCAGACGUUGAUGCUGAAGGAACACGCUGCUGUCAAUUUUAAAAGGUGAUAAGUUUUGGGUUUGCUGUAAGUGUGUUGUUGUACCAGAAUAUUCAUUUUUGCACUGUUUGCUGUAUCCAGUCCAAAUAAAGCAUUUAUACACAAACACAGAA